GAACGCUGGCGGCGUGCCUAAUACAUGCAAGUCGAGCGAACAGAUAAGGAGCUUGCUCCUUUGACGUUAGCGGCGGACGGGUGAGUAACACGUGGGUAACCUACCUAUAAGACUGGAAUAACUCCGGGAAACCGGGGCUAAUGCCGGAUAACAUGUUGAACCGCAUGGUUCUACAGUGAAAGACGGUCUUGCUGUCACUUAUAGAUGGACCCGCGCCGUAUUAGCUAGUUGGUGGGGUAACGGCCUACCAAGGCGACGAUACGUAGCCGACCUGAGAGGGUGAUCGGCCACACUGGAACUGAGACACGGUC
rnacentral:rRNA from 1 species